rnacentral:rRNA from 1 species
UUAAGUUAUUAAGGGCGCACGGUGGAUGCCUUGGCACUAGAAGCCGAUGAAGGACGUUACUAACGACGAUAUGCUUUGGGGAGCUGUAAGUAAGCUUUGAUCCAGAGAUUUCCGAAUGGGGAAACCCAGCAUGAGUUAUGUCAUGUUAUCGAUAUGUGAAUACAUAGCAUAUCAGAAGGCACACCCGGAGAACUGAAACAUCUUAGUACCCGGAGGAAGAGAAAGAAAAUUCGAUUCCCUUAGUAGCGGCGAGCGAAACGGGAAGAGCCCAAACCAACAAGCUUGCUUGUUGGGGUUGUAGGACACUCUAUACGGAGUUACAAAGGACGACAUUAGACGAAUCAUCUGGAAAGAUGAAUCAAAGAAGGUAAUAAUCCUGUAGUCGAAAAUGUUGUCUCUCUUGAGUGGAUCCUGAGUACGACGGAGCACGUGAAAUUCCGUCGGAAUCUGGGAGGACCAUCUCCUAAGGCUAAAUACUCUCUAGUGACCGAUAGUGAACCAGUACCGUGAGGGAAAGGUGAAAAGCACCCCGGAAGGGGAGUGAAAUAGAACCUGAAACCGUGUGCUUACAAGUAGUCAGAGCCCGUUAAUGGGUGAUGGCGUGCCUUUUGUAGAAUGAACCGGCGAGUUACGAUUUGAUGCAAGGUUAAGCAGUAAAUGUGGAGCCGUAGCGAAAGCGAGUCUGAAUAGGGCGUUUAGUAUUUGGUCGUAGACCCGAAACCAGGUGAUCUACCCUUGGUCAGGUUGAAGUUCAGGUAACACUGAAUGGAGGACCGAACCGACUUACGUUGAAAAGUGAGCGGAUGAACUGAGGGUAGCGGAGAAAUUCCAAUCGAACCUGGAGAUAGCUGGUUCUCUCCGAAAUAGCUUUAGGGCUAGCCUCAAGUGAUGAUUAUUGGAGGUAGAGCACUGUUUGGACGAGGGGCCCCUCUCGGGUUACCGAAUUCAGACAAACUCCGAAUGCCAAUUAAUUUAACUUGGGAGUCAGAACAUGGGUGAUAAGGUCCGUGUUCGAAAGGGAAACAGCCCAGACCACCAGCUAAGGUCCCAAAAUAUAUGUUAAGUGGAAAAGGAUGUGGCGUUGCCCAGACAACUAGGAUGUUGGCUUAGAAGCAGCCAUCAUUUAAAGAGUGCGUAAUAGCUCACUAGUCGAGUGACACUGCGCCGAAAAUGUACCGGGGCUAAACAUAUUACCGAAGCUGUGGAUUGUCCUUUGGACAAUGGUAGGAGAGCGUUCUAAGGGCGUUGAAGCAUGAUCGUAAGGACAUGUGGAGCGCUUAGAAGUGAGAAUGCCGGUGUGAGUAGCGAAAGACGGGUGAGAAUCCCGUCCACCGAUUGACUAAGGUUUCCAGAGGAAGGCUCGUCCGCUCUGGGUUAGUCGGGUCCUAAGCUGAGGCCGACAGGCGUAGGCGAUGGAUAACAGGUUGAUAUUCCUGUACCACCUAUAAUCGUUUUAAUCGAUGGGGGGACGCAGUAGGAUAGGCGAAGCGUGCGAUUGGAUUGCACGUCUAAGCAGUAAGGCUGAGUAUUAGGCAAAUCCGGUACUCGUUAAGGCUGAGCUGUGAUGGGGAGAAGACAUUGAGUCUUCGAGUCGUUGAUUUCACACUGCCGAGAAAAGCCUCUAGAUAGAAAAUAGGUGCCCGUACCGCAAACCGACACAGGUAGUCAAGAUGAGAAUUCUAAGGUGAGCGAGCGAACUCUCGUUAAGGAACUCGGCAAAAUGACCCCGUAACUUCGGGAGAAGGGGUGCUCUUUAGGGUUAACGCCCAGAAGAGCCGCAGUGAAUAGGCCCAAGCGACUGUUUAUCAAAAACACAGGUCUCUGCUAAACCGUAAGGUGAUGUAUAGGGGCUGACGCCUGCCCGGUGCUGGAAGGUUAAGAGGAGUGGUUAGCUUCUGCGAAGCUACGAAUCGAAGCCCCAGUAAACGGCGGCCGUAACUAUAACGGUCCUAAGGUAGCGAAAUUCCUUGUCGGGUAA